CCUAGCUUGCUAGGUGGAUUAGUGGCGCACGGGUGAGUAAUAUAUAGAUAACGUGCCUCUUAGUCUGGGAUAGCCAUUGGAAACGAUGAUUAAUACUAGAUACUCCUUCUAACUCUAAUGUUAGUCGGGAAAGUUUUUCGCUAAGAGAUCGGUCUAUAUCCCAUCAGCUAGUUGGUAGUGUAAGAGACUACCAAGGCAAUGACGGGUAGCGGGUUUGAGAGGAUGAUCCGCCACACUGGUACUGAGACACGGACCAGACUCCUACGGGAGGCAGCAGUGAGGAAUAUUGCACAAUGGAGGAAACUCUGAUGCAGCAACGCCGCGUGGAGGAUGACGCAUUUCGGUGUGUAAACUCCUUUUAUAUGUCAAGAAAAUGACGGUAGCAUAUGAAUAAGCACCGGCUAACUCCGUGCCAGCAGCCGCGGUAAUACGGAGGGUGCAAGCGUUAUUCGGAAUCACUGGGCGUAAAGGACGCGU
rnacentral:rRNA from 1 species